rnacentral:rRNA from 1 species
UGACACCUGCCCGGUGCCGGAAGGUUAAUUGAUGGGGUUAGUCUUCGGACGAAGCUCUUGAUCGAGGCCCCGGUAAACGGCGGCCGUAACAAUAACGGUCCUAAGGUAGCGAAAUUCCUUGUCGGGUAAGUUCCGACCCGCACGAAAGGCGUAAUGAUUUGGAUACUGUCUCGGAGAGGGACUCGGUGAAAUAGACUUGUCUGUGAAGAUGCGGACUACCUGCACCAGGAC